rnacentral:rRNA from 1 species
UACGAAGGGGGCGAGCGUUGUUCGGAUUUACUGGGCGUAAAGGGCGCGCAGGCGGCGCAUUUUGUCAGGCGUGAAAGCCCCGGGCUUAACCUGGGAACUGCGUUUGAUACGGAUGGGCUAGAGUUCGGGAGAGGAGAGUGGAAUUCCCAGUGUAGAGGUGAAAUUCGUAGAUAUUGGGAAGAACACCGAUGGCGAAGGCAGCCAUCUGGACCGACACUGACGCUGAGGCGCGAAAGCGUGGGGAGCAAACAGG